CUCUCGGCAACGGAUAUCUUGGCUCCCACCACGAUGAAGAACGUAGCGAAAUGCGAUACUUGGUGUGAAUUGCAGAAUCCCGUGAAUCAUCGAGUUUUUGAACGCAAGUUGCGCCCGAGACCAUCCGGUCGACGGCACGUCUGUCUGGGCG
rnacentral:rRNA from 1 species